GAACACUGCUUAGUGUGCCCUUAAAGAGCAUACAUCAGAAGAGCACGGAAGGAAUCAAGGAAGGUUUGGUUUUGUGGUUUCCUUUUCUCAGCACUGAGUAUAUCAUGCUGUACUGUUGCUGCUAUAUUGACUGCCUCAUUUUACUCGAUCCCAGAUUGACAAAGGUAGAACUUGGGUGCAUGCCUGCCUUGAGUUGUGGUUUGUUUUGUUUGUGAGAUAGUGUUGUGGUGGAAAAUGGACAGUGGCAGCUGUGAGUGUGUGUGUGUGAGAGAGAGAGAGAGCGGGAGAGAGAGAGAGAGAGAGAGAGAGAGAGAUUUCCUUGGUUAUUGCUAUGAGAUGAGCUCCAUGUGUGGCCUCAUGACUAACUGGCCUUGAGACUAACUAAUAGGAUCCUGGCCUUGAGGAUCCUAUGUGGUUUUGAAGAAUUUUUUUUUUAUUGCCUGCUUGGCAAUUUCUUUUGUGGGUUGGGUGGUAGGUAGCACCCAUCAUGCCCUACCACACAACCCACUUUGGUGCCUCUAUGAGCUACCCAUAAGUAACAAUGGGGUGAUUUGAGUUUCCCAUUGUUCCCUAUGAUCAAAACACUUGAUCAUCGAAGCAGCCAACUUUGCUGUCACUAUGAUACUAUUAUUUAUGUGGCUAUAAUGGGCAGAAAACCUCUGGACUUACAUGUGCAAAACAGAGUUGCAAGCCGCUUCCUGCUCAAACUGUUGUCCUCAUUAAACUGCACUAGGUUGAAAAUUCUAGCUACAUCCUUGAGAAGGGCAGAUGAUUGAAUGAUCAAACAACUUUAUUUGCUACUAUUGUUCUCAGGGCAGCUCACAAACAAUAAAACAACAAUAGAAUAAAAACAUAUAAUUAAAAGCACAUCAAAACAAAAAAGACUACUAUAAAAUACAAACUUUUAAAAAAUGUGUUUCACUCCAAUUGAAAUAUCUAACUACUCUGUUAAAAAAAAAUCUAACUUGCAUUGUUGUAGGCUAAUGCAGACCAUCAAGAGAGCAAUCAGACUGAUUUCAUUCUAACAAGAUUUUUGGCAGGCUCUUAUCAAUAUCAUUAAUAUUAGAUAGAAGACAAUUUCAAUACAUGUUUCCACUACAUAUGUAAAUAUAAUUAUGUUUGUUGUUUACACAAGUUGUUUUGCAUAAUAUGUAGUUCUUGGAACUUCAGUUGUUAUAACAUGAAGCAAAAACAAGAAAGAGAUGAAAUCCAGUUUCAUUCACCCAAUGUAGCAGAAUGUGUACAUUGAUAAAAAUUCUGUUAGUCCCCAAUGCAAACUACUCUCAGAAGCAGGCAAUAGCAAGCUAUUUCAGUUGCCUGAUCAAAGUGUUUAUCCCAACCUGCUUCUCAAGGAAUAUUGCUCACCCUGGGAUUUCCAUAAUACACUGAAAUGUAUCAUUGCCACAAUACAGGCAAGCACAUUCAAUGCUAGAGGUCAGUAUGUUGUGAAAAGGGGCCCUUAGAAAUACAGCUGACUGAACAUCAUUAAAAUUGCUGAGAGGACAUCCUGGGAAUACUUGCAAUGCAGUUGCCUCACAGUAGUUGGAAAAGAGCAUAACACUCUACCGCUAUCAAAUCAUAACAUAAAAACACAUAAAUCCCUGUUUGGAGGGAAAGAGACCAAGUAAACAGCCUACAUUGCAAAAUAAAAAAUAAAAAAUACAGAUAUUAAUAAAUCAGUACCAUUUCCUCUCUUCUCUACUGCCCCCAUACUAGUCUGUUUUGGGAAAAGAGACCAAGUAGACAGCCUAAAUUUUUUUAAAAAAUUCAGAUAUUCAUAAAUUAAUACUAUUUCCUUUCUUCUAUACGUUCCCAUUUCCCUGUGGGGUUUUCCAAGAGCAGCUUACUGAAGCAAUGAAUCAACUUUAAAUAAAUAAAUAAAUAAAAAUGACAUCCACUAAAUGAGGACUAUCAGAUCAUGGAAGGAAGCAUUUCAGGCAAACUAGAAGUAUUUUCUUUUGUUUAUGCUGAACAUUUGCCUCAGGUUCCCAUAAAUAUUUGCAGCUAUUGAGGAUUAGACUUAUAAAUCUACAAUGGUGUUGUGGUCUACCUUUGUUCUCAUGGCAGAAAAAGGGCAAAUUAUCAUUUUCAUUUGAAAGAAAUUGAGAACAUGAAAUGCUUGCAUGAGAAAUGGCCAUUUCAUUACGUGGAAAUAAAGUUACUUAGUUUUAGUACAACGAGUGCACUCAGACCUCUUUUUUAAAUGCCAGACCCUUUCAUAGAAAAAUAUACUGAGAAACUACUAUGCACAGAUUUCUCUGAACAAAUUUGCUGAAUUAAGUACAGGUUGUAAUUCACCACUAAGUGGCUGCUUGUAGAGUGCAGAGCUAGAUCCUGCCUCCCACACAAAUGGACUGUGCAUGAGGUCUCAUAAUUCUUCAGUCACCCUUGACAGUGAAGACCCAACCCUCCAAGGUCUUUUAAUUCACCAUACUGUGCCUGCAAUAAGACCCUCAAUUUUAAUUUCCAUAUGCAGCAAAUACAUCUAUCAUAUAGGUUUCCUUAUAAAACACAGAUCAUGCGGUCAGGUUACUUUUGUAGCAGAAUUAUAUAAUGCAUUGUAGUGUAGGUUUUAUUGCUCCUGGCACCACUUUGUUUAAAACAUUCCUGUUUCUAAAGCUUGUGCUUUAGGCCAGGGUAAGCGAAAGCUACUGAACAACUUACGUUUAAUAACCUUAGCAACAAAAUAGAGAUUAGCACCAUCAAAAUAAAUGGAAAUACAUUUUACCACACUAGCAGGUAACUUAUAAAACGUUUAUUACCCUCCAGUGUACAAUCAUAACCACAGACUCUGGCCACAUUUGCUUUAUUUGCCUAGCAAUUCUUUUUAAAGAGAGUAUUCUGUUCUCAGGAACACGUUUCCUAGCAGAGAACAUAACUAUAACAUAACUAGAAGCAAAGAUUAUUUUUACUUCAUGAAAUUAAUUAAUUAAUGCUUUCAGGGCACACUUUUCAAGAAAUUUAAAAUUUUAGAAAUGUUAAAGAACGUUUAAAUUUAUUUUUAAGAAAUUAUAGCUUGUUUUGCUAAAAAGAAAAAAAAAUGAAUUGUAUAGUAUGUAGAUACUCUCAUCUUCUCAUUCCAAUUCAGAAAGAGUUUGGACAAAUCCAUAUCCUCCAACAUUUCACUAAUAUGGUAACUUGGCAAAGAGGCACCUUUUAUCGUGGUGAUUCACUUUAUUUGUCAGGGGGAGAGUAACUGGCCCUAUCCACCCGCAGCACAGUACCUCCAGUGACUGUUGCUGGUGUCUAUAUUUCUUUUUAGAUUGUAAGCCCUUUGGGGACAGGGAACCAUCUUAUAGCAAUAGCAAUAGCACUUACAUUUAUAUACCGCUCUAUAGCCAAAGCUCUCUAAGCGGUUUACAAUGAUUUAGCAUAUUGCCCCCAACAUUCUGGGUACUCAUUUUACCGACCUCGGAAGGAUGGAAGGCUGAGUCAACCUUAUUUAUUUAUUAUUUCUCUAUGUAAUCCUCCCUGAGCCAUUUUUGGAAGGGCGGUAUCAAAAUUGAAUGAACAAAUGAAUGAAUGAAUGAAAUAGGGACACACCUGUGAGUGUGCAGGGAGUUUGGCCAAGCACCCCGAGCAAAGUGUGGUGUGCAAUUCUGACUAAGAGCAUGACACAAAUGGAAAUCAGGCAAUCAAGUGCAAGCAGAACACAUUAUUCCAGAUUACCAAAGCAUAUAAACCAAGCCCAUAGUCUCCAACAUUUCACAGGAAAAUGGGGAUACAUUUGUAAAAGUCAAUACUCAUACCAAGGUGGACCAAACUGCCCUCCCAUUAUUACAAAUUACUGAAAACUAAUUUCUAUCUUCUGUUUUCUGUGCAUUUACAUGUGAGUACUCUAGGGAGAAAAUGCAUUCAUCUAUCCACAUGGAGAUUUAAUUUUUAGCCUAUGGGAUCCUGAAGAAUGAUACCUCUAGCAACUCAUGUGAGAAAAAACUAAACAAUGCAUUCCCAAGGGACAAAAACAGGGAGAGUUUUCAUAAAAUAGAGACUGCCCCUGGUAAAUAUAUACAUACUUAUUUAAAGGUAAAGUAUGCCAUCAAGUCUGUGUUGAUUCCUGGCGACCACAGAGCCCUGUGGUUGUCUUUGAUAGAAUACAGGAGGGGUUUACCAUUGCCAUCGCCCAUGCAGUAUGCCUUUCAACAUCUUUCCUAUAUCACUGCUGCCCAAUAUAGGUGUUUCCCAUAGUCUGGGAAACAUACCAGCAGGUAUUUGAACUGGUAACCUCUGGCUUGCGAAUCAAGUCAUUUCCCCACUGUGCCAUUACUAUUAUUUAUAUACCGCUUGUCAACAGAAAAGUUCUCAAAGUGGUUUACAUUAAAAAUGGUUUACAUAGAUAAACUUCUGGCCUAUGCAAAUCAGGAUAUUUAUCUGGACAUCCAGACUGAGAGAAUGGAUGUCCAACCACAUUAAACCAUUACCUCUAAUAUUAGUUGUACACAAUGGUAUUUUGGACAAACAGACAUCUAAAUUAGAGGCAAUCCAUAGUUACACAUGAGGCCCUUACGCUGUGAUUCUGUUGCAGCCUUUAAGCUACAAAUACAAUCAACUCCAGUACUUCUCCUGAGUUGCAUUGCUGGAAACAGAGAAGAUGACUAAGAUGUCACAAUUCAUAGCAUGCUGACCGUAGGUUUCAUGAUAUUCCAAUGCAUGUGCAGAAGCCUGUUGCCAUUAUAUUGAGAACUGGGUCCUCCUGGCUCUCACCUCCAUCUUUAUUAAGUAACAUAAAGUGUGUACAGAGUGAGAAGAUGAACUACAAAGGCCCAGUUUGUACUAUGCAAGACCACAGUAGGGUUAUGGCAUCCAGGCCUUGGUGCACAACAGUGAUGUCUAUCACAACACACCAGGGCCUGGAGACAUCUGAAUUGUCCUGAUGUAGAAUCAUUUUGAAACAGACUUGAGUUUCAGAUAAUCUGGAACAGGGAUUCUCAACGUUGGGUCCCCAGAUGUUAUUGGACUUCAACUCCCAUAAUCCCUAACUAAAGGCUACUAGGGCUGGGGAUUAUGAAGUCCAAUAACAGCUGGAGACCCAACGUUGAGAAUCUCUGAUCUAGAAUAGACUACAGUAUGGAUCUGUGGGAACUGAACCCGCAAAUUCAUCAUAGAGUUCUGGUUUAUUUCAUCUGUGCAAUUAAUUUCUGUUUCAAAAUGAUACCUGUUUCAAUUUUUAAAUAAACUAUGUUCCCAAUGCAUGCUCUUUCAGAAAUACCUGACUGUGACACUGUUGCAUUCUAUGUAGUAUAUUUUAUGUUUUGUUGUUUAGAAGAUUAUCCCAGGAGGGAUCCUGUAGAGAGUGUGGGGGACGGUGUCAGAAAGGGAAAGGAAGGGGAAGGAGAAGGAGAAAAUAGUUGUUCCUGAAUAAACUCUUAGUCAAAUCUAUAUAAAAUUACUUUGUGUUUGUGAGAGAAUCAGCAAUACAGCAUUUGGUGAUGGGAUUUUGAACCAGCUAAUCGUGUGAGACUGCAAAGCUUGAGCAUGUUCCUGCAACUUCAUUUCAUUGCAUGUCUGGACCUACAUUCCUGAACUACUUUCUACUAUUGCUGCUCCUGAUUGUUUCUCCAGCUUCCUGACCUGCACAAUCCCUGAAGGUACAAAGUGUGGGAAAAACUAUGGCAACAGAGCACUGAACUUUUCUUAAAGAUGUAAGCAUGUUCCUGAACAUAGGUCGUGAUAAUAAUGGGAACAAUUACCUACCAAAUGUGAAGACAAAAGCUUCAGCAGAGCCAUCUUAGUCAUAAAGAAAGAAGACAGACUCAGGCUGCACAUGCACACAAUACUUUCUAACUCAGAAAUGCAUGGUUAGGAGUCCUCUUUGCCUCACUUGGAAUUCUGAAGAAGGAAGGGGCUUCCUUGCACUAAUGGACCCAAAAGCAACACAUUUAAAGAGCUUUUAGCAACUCUGCACUGACACAGUAAAUAUGGGUGUGAUUGGUUUGCUCAAGCAAAACCAGUCACACAUAAGCAGAAUACAUUCGCACCACUGUUCCCUCUAAGGCGUGUGCAUGUGCAUGCGCUCACAAGUUUUUGGAUGUCUGCUCAGUUCAUUUUAGAUCCUGCAGAGGUUGAAUCAGGAAGGCCCCAUUCUGAAUGUAGGUGCACACACACCGCCUUGAUGCUGCCACCCAGAACAAAACUCAUUCCGCACAGAGAUGAAAAAAAAUUAGAGGGACCACUGAUUCACACCAUCUUAAAUGAGUUAUGCAGCAACUGAUUCACAAAACCAUAUGUGCUUUUGAUACAUUACUGCAAACACUCUAAACAUAGUUUAAUCAACCAUGGUGGCACACCAAAGGAUGAAUCCAGCAUAUAGAAGUGGUCACACACAACCAGUUUACCAUGAUCUGUACAUCAGCAUGGGCAACCUGUUUGUGUUUUUUCCACCUGUCCAUUGGUUGUGUGAAUUAGUCCUAAAUCACUCAAUUGUUUUCAGCUCUGUGGUUUUAAUAGGCUAUACGUCUUGAAAAAACUCAGCCUACCAAAAUACAUUUUUCUUCAAACUCUGGGGAACAGGGAAUAUCUCAACUGAGGCUAUACUGCAAGUUCAAAUUUGCAAACAAACAAACAAAAAACUCCAAAAGACACAAAAAGGUGGAUUUUUUUUAACCCCAGACAUAAAUUGGUCUAUGUUCUAACGUGCAAUAAAAAACCCAAAUCAUGUCUGGAGUGUUCCCCAAUAGCUCACAGGGGCUUCAGGGUAAUCUGGCUGAUAUGUGAAUGCACACCUUCUAUUCUAGAGGAGAAGUGAGCUAAACCUGUCUGGAAAUGCUCUUGCCAAAAUUGGAAAUGAACCUACCAUUAUAUAUUUACAAAGAACUUUGGAUCUCUUAUAGAGACAACACUCUAAAAAUGCAACUGCUAAUCUUCUUCUGAAUGAGAAAAAUAGGAUUUGUAAAAGAUAAUUGAUCAACUGGAACUUCCACAGAGUCUCUAAAAAGCUAUUUUUAGAUUUUUAAAAUUUAAAAUAAAUCAACAAACAAGAUGGUGCUCCAUGCAGCCCUGGAAGUGCCCCUUGAUAUUUCCCUUUGAAUUUGAAUUGCAUUCUCCCAAGAGGAAAAUAUUAACUAUCAACUGAGUUAUUAAUACGCCAUAUAUUUAGGAGGGAAAGUUAUAUAAACAUAGUAUAUAAAAACUAUACAUCUUUCUAAGUGAAUUCUAGAAAAUUCUGAAUACCACAGCCUCUCUCUUUGGCAGUCUUCUUUCCUGAAAAGCAGAGCCUCCAUUUUCAAGCUCUGCAUAUUUACCCAGACAUCCUAUUGAAUAUCAUUAACUCUGCAAGAGAACUAUCAUAUAUGUACAGAACACCUAAUGGGACCUAUCCAGUCAAAAGGCUCUCUCAAUUGGAUUCACUGAUCCGAAAUGGAACACAUUGAUCUAAUAGGAGGUAAGAGAUUUCCUAGGGCAUUCAGUCCCCUGGAAGACUCUCACGCAGUGGUGGGCUCUCCCUUCUUAAAGAGUUUCAAACAAAUGUUGGUCAGCAUUCUGUCAGGGAUUCUGUAGCAUUUUCCUGCACUGAACUGAACUUGAAGAUAUACAAGACCCCAUUGACACUAAAAUGCGGUGAUAAAACACCACGGAUCAUUAUGGCAAGACAAUGUCAUCCCCUUAGCUGUUCUUGCGAGAAUACAUUGUGAACCCUAUGGCAUUAAAAACCUGCCUCUGCAGUUCUAAUCAGGUAGAAGCUGUACACCCACCCAAUGUAUAAGGGAUUCCAUGACACCUUUGAUAACUAAUCUUCAUUUUAAAAAACUGAUAGGGUCAUGUGUGACAUACUUGGUGACUGAUACUGAUCACCUCACACAACAUUAAAAAGCUAGAAAAUUUAUUGUUGGAUUUGGUUUCAAGAAUUUCAGGAAAAUCUUACUAUAUAGCUGGAUUGUCCAAUCUGAUCUUAUUUCUUCUUUUGUUGCUAUCGUAUGCGGAUGUAUUUUUUUCCUUCAUGUUUUAUUCUAUGUCCAUUGGGCCAGAAUACAUAAUAAUGGACUGACUGAAAAUUCUGUGAUUGCUCUUAAUAACCCUCUAACCUCAAAUUAUGUAUUAAUUAUUUAAAUUCAUAAGACACCUUAUAACUAAUGCUCAGGACAGGUAAGAUCAUUCUAAAGAGAUACCGUUUUUAAAAUAUCAAAUAGCUAUUACAUGCCGGUUCAGAUUUUUCUUGGAGGCUUUAUAAUUUUUAUAAAAUCAUAACUCUGGAAAAGACUUAACGAACCAUCUAGUCUAUUCUUGUACAAGACAAGAUGUACAAUAUCUAAAGAAUCUCAGAAUCCCAGGCAUGUGCCUGUCAGUUGUCAUGAGGUACAUGCCACGCCAUGUUUUGGAUCCAUCAACAAUCUUUAAACAGAUGACAAAGACAACCUCAUGCAAAACAUAACAAUCAAGCCUCCAGAUAAUAAAGGCACAGACCUAGUUCUCACAAAGGCACUACACUUGUGUCUGGGCCAUACCUCUUGAGACAGCAGCAGGUAGGGGCUCAUAUACUAAAUACAACCUUGCCUUGCACCACUCAAAAAUAAUUUCUGCACAGAGAAAACUGCCAUGUCAGAGAGAAGGCUAAACCAGAAUCAUUCCAUUGAUAUCUGCUUUUAUAUGUGCAAAUAAUAUGUUUGUAUGGGGAAAUAUUCACUUAUAAGAGACACCUGAAUAUUCAAGCAUAAGAGCGCCAAUCCUUAGAUACUGUUGAUAAAGAUUUACUGCUUCAACAACCCUUGAGCAUCCCUUAAAUUUCCUACCUGCAAGGAGUUCUGUAACCUUGGUUCCUGCCAUAGGUUCUGCUAAUCUCCAGAAGAACAAGGAUCCAAUCGCAAGAAACCACUUUAGCCUCUGUGAUAGAUAGUCCUUAAGGACUAAAGCAAUAAAGAGUUCCUAAAGGAAAGCUUGUUUAUCUUAAAGAAGA